UAUGAAAUAAAAUACCAUGUAUGAGUUUAAAAACUUCUGGAUUCUAUGAGGGUUCUCACCACACCAGAUGGGAUAGCAAAUAAAAAUUUAAAACAGUUCAGAUCAUAGAUCUUUUUGGUGAACAAAUAAUGAAUAAGAGAGAAGACAGGAUUUUGCUGCAUAGUUAAUCUUUAUCCACCCCCCAUCCCAAACUUGAAUAGUUACAAGAAUAACUAUAUAGCUUUGCUAAAUCCCAAUCUAAACUUAAUAUAUACUUUAUUACAUGGAAAUCAGAAAUAUAACUUAGAACCUUCUAUAGGUUCACAUUUCAACGCUGAAAAUUACUCAGUUGCACUAGAUCUGCGUUUGGUUUGAUUGCUCACUAAUUGUCGAGUGUAUGUUGUGUUUGCUUUUUGCCUUUAUAUGCUGUAAGCAUUCCUCUUAAUAUCCUUGGUUCUUACGGUCAUGUAAUGUCAAAAUCAUUGUUUCCAUGCUUAGAUCCCUAAUGCUAAAUUUGAAGAGAUACGGAGAUGUGUGUGAAUGCUUCCUGAUGGAAUUUUAGGAAACACUAAUGGAGAUCAUUGUGCAACCCUCUUGAAGUUAGGUGAAGAAGGUCAAGAACAAGGUGUCAGCCAACUUGACAUUUCGGAAAUGGCUGCAUAUCAGAGUUCUCCACUGUUCUCCACACUUACUCUCUCCCUUAUCUCCGAGCUGGUAGCAGAGGAGCCAGCAGAAGACAGCAAGCCCUUGGUAUAGAUAGAGAAGCCAUGGAUGAAAAGAAGCAGGCCUUAAAGACAGAGCAAAGUAACAUAGCAUUCCUCUCUACUAUCAUCCUGUACUGGAUAGGCCCCCACAAAUAAUCCUGUAUUUUGGUAAACCGAUGCUUGAGGAAGACAUGCUAGAGCAAAAACUACAACUCUGGUCCUCUUGGAUAUUUUAGAUAAGGACUUUACCCACAUAAAGAAGGUGUUGCCCUGGGGACUGGCUGAGAGAAAUUACAGACUGUUACUCACUUCAAAAGAAACGGACUGCUACAGUGGUACUUACGUCACCAGAAAGAAACACUUCCACAAAGAAUUUGAUUUGAUGGCAUCAUGUGGACAUAGAACUCUCAUAGUAAUGACCCAACCUGUGUUUCCAGUCAUCCUGAUGAACUCUCAACAAAAUCAGAUUGUUAUACUGUUGUUCUCACUUUACACCGAUAUUUUCUCUUGCUCCUAAAAAAAGUAUCUGGUAUUAAAUAGAAUUCUGUAUCUUAAAAAACUUGCCAUUGAGAAAAAUGAGAAGUAACUGUACAUUUUAAUACUGAAGGUUUUAAUAAAAAAAGCAGUGUGAA
rnacentral:lncRNA from 1 species